UACGAAGGGGGCUAGCGUUGCUCGGAAUUACUGGGCGUAAAGGGCUCGUAGGCGGCCAACUAAGUCGGACGUGAAAUCCCUCGGCUUAACCGGGGAACUGCGUCCGAUACUGGAUGGCUUGAGUAUGGGAGAGGGAUGCGGAAUUCCAGGUGUAGCGGUGAAAUGCGUAGAUAUCUGGAGGAACACCGGUGGCGAAGGCGGCAUCCUGGACCAUUACUGACGCUGAGGAGCGAAAGCCAGGGGAGCAAACGGG
rnacentral:rRNA from 1 species